GAACCCUUUCUCUUCUCUCUCUAUUCGCUUUCGCUCAUUCUCAUUCGAAACCCUUUUCUCCCUGUUCUCAGAUUCACGCUACCGCAAAACCCUUUCUUUUUUCUGGCUUCCAAAUAAACUUAAAUGCUAGAUUUCGAUUAUCUUCUGCACUAGGGAUUGCUUUGUAACUUCAUUACAUCAAAUUAGAGGAGAAAAUGCUCAAUUAGGUUUUACUUGCUGUUUGUACAAUACUUUUUAUGAAUGGGGAUUCUGCACCUUUGAAUACACGACCCUGUAAGUGAUGAAGGUAGGUGAAGAGCCCAUGCUUUCUAUUGCUGUUUUUUCACUUAUUGCUUUCCAUGCUUUCUUUUCUUGAAGAUUUAACUCAGAUGAUAUUUUCCAUUUGUUUUUUACAAUUCAAAAUUUAAUUUGGUUUAGUUUAUUGUUUAUUUUCCUCUGUUUCCAUUGUUUUUACAGUUUAAGCUUUUCUUUUUUUAACAAUUCAAGAUUUAAUUUAUUUUGGUUUAGUGUAUGUUUGUUUUCCCGAUGAAGCACCACCGCUACCGCGCGUUCAAUAGAAGCUGGAAAGUGUAGCUUUUACAUUAACGUGCUUUGGGAUGCGAUAAUGGUUCUUCACAAACUAAACAUGGUUGCACAAGCAGAGCUGAAGCAUGGGAAUGGAUUGCACUUUGAUGAUUGAGAACCAAUUCGAUAGUUUUCAUGUUGAGUUAGAUUGUUCACCUUUCGAAUAUGUCGGACGGACAGGGAACCUACAAUAAUGUUUAUAAAGCUCUAGCUCCAGACACGAGAUAUCACAAGAGAUAUCAUGGCUCUAAGUUGUGAUGCUAUGGUACAUAGCUAACGAGUUGAUGAUAAGUUCACUAUGUUUUAUAGUUGUUUCUUAUGCAAUAGGUGUCGGAUGCAAAUUGUGGUAGUUAUUGUAAAAUCUUUAAAAUUAAUUUAUGAUGUUAUUAAUUUCGUUAUUUUGUAUAUGGUUUAUUGAGUCUGAAGUAGCAUUUUCUGAAAUUUUCUUUUACAUUGUUUAUUAUUUUUUUAUACAAAGGAGGUAAUAGGCAACGGUUUUAUCGUGUGGCUUAAACAAAAACCGUGGACUAACAUUAAUUAAUAAAUUGUAGAAUAAUUAAUAGGCAACGGUUAUAUAGGUGUAGCUAAAACAAAACCGUAGUCUAUAAGUAGUUCAAAAACCGCAGCCUAUUCACGUAUUUAGGCAACGCUUAUCUUCAACCGUGGGAUAAAGUGACAAAACCGUAGCUUAUAAGAAUAGGCAACGGCGGUUUAUUCCACGCCUAAAAAACCGUAGGCUAAAGGCUUAGGCUACGGUUUUUUGAUAUUUAGCCACGGUUUUCUGUCAUUGCCUAAACUCAUUUUUGUUGUAGUGCUUCUUCGGAGAAAUGAGAUUCAAGUAUCCUUGAAUCAAGACCCAAUCCACAAUUAAAACGGGGCUGUUCGGAGAAGUAAUACCAAGAUCUCCCCAAAUCCAAUCCUCUCCCACCCAACCACCCAUGCUCCCCACCGAAACAUCUUUCAAAAGAGACGCCGAAUACAAAGAAGGAAAUAUGUCCCGCAAACAAACAUUAGACAACCAAGGAGAAUGCCAAAAAGAAGUGGAAAAUCCAUUA